GCACAAGCGGUGGAGCAUGUGGUUUAAUUCGACGCAACGCGAAGAACCUUACCUGGGUUUGACAUCCUUUGACCACCCUGGAAACAGGGUUUAUCCGACUUGUCGGAACAGAGUGACAGGUGCUGCAUGGCUGUCGUCAGCUCGUGUCGUGAGAUGUUGGGUUAAGUCCCGCAACGAGCGCAACCCUUGUCUCUAGUUGCCAAUAUUAAGUUAGGGACUCUAGAGAGACUGCCUCGGUCAACGGGGAGGAAGGUGGGGAUGACGUCAAGUCCUCAUGGCCUUUAUACCCAGGGCUACACACGUGCUACAAUGGGCUGUACAAAGGGCAGCUAACUCGCGAGAGUACGCCAAUCCCAAAAAGCAGUUCUCAGUUCGGAUUGGAGUCUGCAACUCGACUCCAUGAAGUUGGAAUCGCUAGUAAUCGUGGAUCAGCACGCCACGGUCCGAAUACGUUCCGGGCCUU
rnacentral:rRNA from 1 species